UUGUAGCCCAACAGCAGUGGAGCAUGAGACUCUUAAUUUCAGGGUUGUGGGUUUGAGCCCCACGCUGGGCAAAA